UCCCUUCCCUCUCUUCCCCAUCUCCCAACAAGAGCACUAGCCUCUCACAGGAGUGCAGGGACCUUACAGGGCUCUCCCCAUUCCACCGUCUCCUCCUUCUUGCCUUGUUUUCUCACUCCUAAAUGCAGACUCUCCUUUACCUUUUAAUCCACUGGGUUUUAGACUAGAUUAGACAUAGAUCAUAUGCCAAUGGAUGGCAUAUGAUUUGGGGGGUACACCAUCAUCACAGCUAGAUAGCCCAGUGGAUAAUACUGAGCUUGGAGUCAGACUGAAUUACUUGAGUUCAAAUCCUGCUUCAGACACAUAAACUGUGUCAUAGAUAAGUGGGUGGGUAGAUUCUUUCUCUCUCUCUCUCUCUCUCUCUCUCUGUCCCUCAAUCCCCCUUCCUCCCUUCCUCUUUCCCUCCCUCCUCUUUCUCUCUCACCCAGGGUCCCCUAUCCCUAGCCUUUCUCUAAUCCUGCCUAUGUCUGGGCCCAUAUCUAUUUGAUACCUCUGCCCAGAUUAACAAUCAUAGUCACCAGGGAUGAAGCCCCAGGGAGCCUUGAUCAAAUGUCCCUGCCCAGGCAGUGGAUGGUAUUCCAUCUCUUUUCCAAUGUGUUACACCUGAGAUGAGGUCACAAUCAUUGUCCACAGGGAAAUCUAGGGGAAGGGAGUCAUUUCUGGUAUGGAGAAGACCAUCUUCAUGGAGAGACUUUUUUUGCUGAGGAGGACCAAAUUAGGCGUUCCAGCUCACUCCCAGGCUUUUCUACAGCUUAAUUCCUGGCUUAAGAACUUGCUCUCGCCUGCCUGAGGAUUGGCUCGCCCGUAAUUGUCAUUGUAGCCGGCGCUGGCUUAUGGGAGAAUUUAACGGCAGUGAUAUAAGAGCAAGUCUAAUCCUUCUACUACAUCAUAGCCCUUCAUAUCUUGGAAAACAGCCAUCAUGUCACUCAACACUACACCCCAUCCCUACUGCCUCUGCCUGUCUUCUCCACGCAAAAGAUCACUAACUCCUCCAUCUAGUCCUCAUUGGGUCCUUUACCAUUCUGGGUGCCUUUUUUAGAUGAUCUCUGGCUUGUUGGUGUCCUUCCUAAUUUCCAGGUGAGUAUACUACUGACUAUGAAGUGUCCUUUGGAGGUAGUGGAGAAGCCACAUUCAAAUCCUGAUUGCUUUUAUCCACUCUGUGAUCUCGGCCAACUCCCUUCACCUGCCUGGGCCUCUGUUCUCUUAUCUGAAAAGUGAGAAAGUUGGCCCUAAAGAUCUCUAGGAUUCCUCACAAUUCCAAAUCUAUCAUGUCUGGAUGAUAUGACCAGAAAACCCUUCCAAAAUGAUAAUGGAAGGGCAAGGGCAUACCAACAUUUAUAUCAGAA
rnacentral:lncRNA from 1 species